UACGAGAGGCCCAAACGUUAUUCGGAUUUACUGGGCUUAAAGAGUUCGUAGGCGGCGCAGAAAGUAGGGUGUGAAAGCCCUCGGCUCAACCGAGGAAUUGCGCCCCUAAACUACUGUGCUUGAGGGACCUAGAGGUGAGCAGAACUGAUGGUGGAGCGGUGAAAUGCGUUGAUAUCAUCAGGAAUACCGGGAGGCGAAAGGGCGGCUCACUGG
rnacentral:rRNA from 1 species